UACGUAGGGCGCAAGCGUUAUCCGGAAUUAUUGGGCGUAAAGAGCUCGUAGGCGGUUUGUCGCGUCUGCCGUGAAAGUCCGGGGCUCAACUCCGGAUCUGCGGUGGGUACGGGCAGACUAGAGUGAUGUAGGGGAGACUGGAACUCCUGGUGGAGCGGUGAAAUGCGUAGAUAUCAGGAGGAACACCGGUGGCGAAAGCGGCUCACUGGACCGUUUCUGACGCUGAGGUGCGAAAGCUAGGGGAGCAAACGGG
rnacentral:rRNA from 1 species